CCCAUUUGAUUGCGUUUACUUCAUUCUAAAAUUGAACAGUGAGAAUAAGUUGGAGUCUUCACUUCCACUACAAAUGACAGCUUACGAAAGAUAAAGGUGGACAGCAGCGCUCAGUUUUGCUAUGCGAUCCUGGCACUGGUAAAAAAAGCUGCACAUGGGAGUGAGAACUGUUCUGAUGAUGACAAGAGACUGCAGUACCAUAUGACCUUAACUACAACUACCUGCAGAUGUCUGUCUAUUGCCUGUUGCCAGAGUCUAACCAUUACACGAGUGCUGUAUACUGAUGACAAUCCUGAAUGAUCAAAACCAAGACUUACCUGAAUGAAAAGGAAACUGCUGCUUGGCUUCACCAGUGUGGGCAUCCCAAAUAAUUGUGGUCUGUAUUAAACAGAUACGUAAACAAUAAACAAACUUACACAAA